rnacentral:lncRNA from 1 species
UUAUGAAAUACUAUAUGACAGUCAUAUGCCCACCACGUUGGCUUUUGUUGAGAGGAAGAAAUUUUCUUCCUUCUCAGGCUCCCCUAUUCUUGAUGCCCUAUCCCACUAUUCAUCAAUUGUGAUACUCCAACUCUACAUUAAAAAAAAUAUGUGACUGUUGAGUUUUAUGUGAGAGCCAAACUUAUAUACUACCAAUAACUUUAGCUUGAGCUUUUGAAAGCUAGUGGUUUGGGUUCAAAACUUUGUUGUGAUUGUGGUAGUUGGGUCUAGGACAUUAUAAAUGGUACGAAGAAUGCAUCACCUUUAGCCUUCUAUAUGCUGAAGGGGAAGUGGGCCUUUUAUUUUGCCAUCAUUGUUGUCAGCUUUAAGGAGAUCUAUGUC